UACGAAGGGGGCUAGCGUUGCUCGGAAUCACUGGGCGUAAAGCGCACGUAGGCGGAUUGCUAAGUCAGGGGUGAAAUCCUGGAGCUCAACUCCAGAACUGCCUUUGAUACUGGCGACCUUGAGUCCGGGAGAGGUGAGUGGAACUGCGAGUGUAGAGGUGAAAUUCGUAGAUAUUCGCAAGAACACCAGUGGCGAAGGCGGCUCACUGGCUCGAUACUGACGCUGAGGUGCGAAAGCGUGGGGAGCAAACAGG
rnacentral:rRNA from 1 species